GUUUUAUUAAAAGCUACAUUUUAUAACACUGGCACAAAAAAAAAAAAAUAGUAGUUUUAAGCUUGUUUGCACAGUUCUUUUUUUCCAUUGGAAAUGGAAUUCAUUGCCUUAGGUCUUUUUAAAUAGUGUAUUAUUAUCGUUGGGGCUGGCUCUAUGCUUGAAAACCAGUUUAUUUAUAACCUGUUGUAAGUGCUAUAUUCUGUUUGCAGUUAGGAAAUGCAGAAUUCACAGUGAUCUCCUAGCUUGUAAGCAAACUGAGAUGCACUAUCCCUUUUCUAUUAAGAAUGAGUUGAUGUGUCAGGAAACAAGGCUAGCAAAGUGGAUUUGAUAUCCCUUUCCUUGUGUGUCUUAUCUUAUUGUUUUGGUGGUUAAUAUGGUGAUAAUUGAAAGUCAAGUUGAAAUUCAAAUAUUAAUAUUUCUGAUUUGUUGAGCUUUGAAUUAUGCCACCAUGCUUAUAUAAAAACGAAGGUGGCACCAUGAUGAAACUUAAAGAAACAGUUUCUCAUCUGUAACAGUUUUGAUUCUCUUUCCUGUGACCUCUUUCCCCACUGUCUGGAACCAUAGCAAAAGGAUACUGCAUCUCUUGUUACUGUAGUGCUGAGGUUAUUGAAGUUACAGAAACACAUCUGGUGUGUUUCCUAGAAAAGUACCUGUUCAGUCUUGCUAGGUGACUGACAGGAGAGGCAAAUGUGUUAUGUUUUGCACACCAAUGCAGCAGGGUUUGUAUAACCACAUGACUUCAUAGUUGUGAUCUCAAAGGAACUUCUCCUUUAUUUUUUCUUGCAAUUAAUGUAAGAAUACUCUAAAUCUCUGCACUUCUGAAGGAUUAGAGGUAGAAAUGGUCUAGUAAAGUGUAAUGUUUUAUUCAUUUAGCAUGUGUUUAUUUUCCUUAUGUUCUCCAGGUGAUUCGUUCCUUCCACUCAGUGAUAUUGUGGUUAAAAAAUGAUGAGCAGAAGCGCUCUCCACCUUACAAAUGAGAAAUGUUCUUUUAUAUUGUGUUGAGUACUUGACUAACACUUUUUUACAUACAAAAGUUUCUUGAAGGUUCUUCAUAAUUGCGGUGUAGAAGAAAUUAUGUCAUAAAUAGUUAAUUGACAUUGAGUUGAAGCAGUCAUACAUUGCUUAGAUUCCCAGUAGAUCCCAUGAUGGAAAUAUUUAAAGAUGAACUUGGAAAUACUGAAAUUAGACUAUCAGGUUCUGUUAAAUUGUCUCGUAUAUCUUGCUUAAUUUCUGUUCAUUAAUUUAUAUCCAUCCAAUUAUAAAGUAAAUUUGGAGGAAACAGCUGAAGUUGUGCCAUAUUUUUAGUGAUAACUCUUUUUAAAUUCUUAUGUUUUCUAAUUAUACACUUGUGUGUCAUCAAGUAUUAUAGUCAGACUUUUUUCCCAGGUUCUCAAAAUUUGUAAAUGUACUUUUCCCAGUCUUUCAUGGUGCAGUCUAAGAAUAACAACAAUAACAAAACCCCCUUCUGUCUCAGAUAGUACUGAACUGAGUGCUCUUGGGUGAUUCUUAUUCUUUUUAACUUUAUUCUGCAUACAACUAUGUUAAGAACCAUCAAUUUUUGGCAUCUACUAAAUUGUUAAAAGUUAUAAUAUAGCCGUGAAGGGUUUAAUGUUAAGAGUUGGUUACAUGUUCUCCAGAAUAUCUGAUCUUUUUAUACAUACACAUACACACACAGUGCUUAAUGUUCUGUUUUUCUGUGUGUAUGUCAGGAAAAAUCACCUUAGGGGCAGCCUUUACAUAAUAGUAAGGACUUAGACUUUAUCCCAAAUCAUUUUCUUUACACAUCAGUUUAAAGCUUAGGGAACUAUUUUUCAUUGCUUUGUAGUUACUAUGGUUUAAGCACACACUUAGAAACUAGAUAGCUUUAAAGUUUCCUAAAGCAGGUGUAGAGGGUUUAGAAAUGGACAAGACUUGUUCCAGCGUGGCUAUGGGAUUUGAAAUGUCUAGAAAGCCUAACCAAGGAAAAGGGAGGUUUAUACAAAUUGAACUGCUUGGAUAUACUUUAAAUUAUGUUUACAUUUGUGAUGGUUUGAAUAUGCUUGGUCCAGGGAAUGGCACUAUUAGGAGGUGUGGCCUUGUUGGGGUAGGUAUGGCCUACUUGGAGGAAGUGUGUCACUGUGUGGGUGGGCUUUGAGCCCUUCCUCUUAGCCAUGUUAGAGCCAGUCUUCUGUUUGCCUUUGGAAUAUGCUAUAGAGCUCUCAGCUCCUCCAGAGCCAUGCCUGCCUGAACACUGCCAUGCUUGCCACCAUGAUGAUAAUGGACUAAACCUCAGAACUUGUAAGCCAGUCCCAAUUGAAUGGUGUCCUUUAUAAGAGUUUAUAAGAGAAGCCUUGGUCAUGGUGUCCCUUCACAGCAAUGGAAACCCUAAGACAACAUUCUUACAAGGAAUCUCUUAAAUUGGUAUUGGAAGACGUACCCCACCCCAUGUGUGUCAUUAUUUCAUAGAACUUAGGGUGUUGAGGUUCUUUACAUUAGAAGUUCCUUCAUUAGGAUGAAAACUUCAAAAAAAUUUUUACAUUUUAUGUUUACGGAUAUUUUGCCUGCAUGUAUGUUUGUGCAACAUUUGUGUUCCUGGUGCCUAUGGAGGCCGGAAGAGGGUGUCCGGUCCCUUGGAACUGGAGUUACAGACAGUUGUGGGUGCCCAUGUGGGUUCUGAGAAUGAAAUAUAGUCCUCUGGGAGAGCGGCCAAUGCUGCGCCAUCUCUCCAGCCUCAAAAGUAAACAUUUU
rnacentral:lncRNA from 1 species